rnacentral:lncRNA from 1 species
ACAUUUUUCACAUCAAUUCUCUUCUUUACUUACAAAUUAAAGUUUGAAGAUGGAGAUAAAAAAGGGGAAGAAAUGAUUUUUCUCUGUUGCUGUUCAUUUGCUAACAAUGUUGCAUAUUUAAGGUGUUUUAAUUUUGUGAAAUCCCAGCACUGGAGGUUAGGAUGAGCUCUCCCUGGACACCCAAGUAAAGAAAAAAGUCAUUGUCUUCAAGCUACACUUUCAUAGCAAAUAUACUGUUUUAAUUAAGAUUAGAUUUAAGGUUAGAUUUUAUUUGGAAAGAUGGGGGUGUAUGGCCAAGGGAUAUUUAUGGCUGGACCGUUUUCAAGAGGCUCACUGACAUUGAUGGAUAUUAAUAAAGUUGAUGCUGUAAAGUUUCACCAGGAAUGGCAAAAGGAUGAACCUGUCAAGAUGGCCUGAAACUUGGUUGUUUCAAAGAAAGCUGUUGGCCCAUCUCCCCACUUCACCUGACUCCCAUUCCCACACAGGCAACCCAACACAUUCAAGGUCAUGUCGGAACAGCUAACCUGACAGGGUGGAAUGCGGCCUACUGCUCUGAAGACUCGAAAUGCUGACGGCACCCUAUUAGCUUUCUGUUCACUUCAGUCAACCUCCUUCUCAUGGUCUAUCCUCUUCCAUAUCGUGAUGCCUUCCUUCCAUGUAUCAUCCAUCUUACAUCAUUGUGUAUAUCACACUAAGUGUCAAUAAAGUAUUCACAC